AGAGACCGAGUCCCGGCGGCGACGGCGGGGCAGCGCACCAGCAGGCGGAUUCAUUCCACUUAAAACCUGAAAACAUUGGACCACACAAAGUCUUACUGAUUUCAGGUAAAAACAAAAAUUGAAGAUGUCCAGCAAAACAGCAAGUACCAACAAUAUAGCCCAGGCAAGGAGAACUGUGCAACAGUUAAGAUUAGAAGCCUCCAUUGAAAGAAUAAAGGUUUCGAAGGCAUCAGCGGACCUCAUGUCCUACUGUGAGGAACAUGCCAGGAGUGACCCUUUGCUGAUAGGAAUACCAACUUCAGAAAACCCUUUCAAGGAUAAAAAAACUUGCAUCAUCUUAUAGUGGAAUAGAGAAACAGCUCCUCGCCUCUUCUCAACAAAGCAAAUUAUGAGCAGCUCCUUGAAGAGAUUUACCUUCAGCUUAUUUGGUAACCACUGCUAAUAACUAAAAUGUUCUCAACUUGGAAUAACGGACUCUGAAGUCUCUAUUUUCCAAGUUGUCCUUUCUCUUAAAAUACCCUUUACUGAUUUAAUACAGAAUAACAAUCUUAUUUUCCACUUGGUAACUAUAGCUUUAUGUUGGGUUACUGUUUAAGGAAAGUUGAUCUGGGCCUUUUUAAAAACAUAAUUAUAUACUUUAAAUAUACAAUGGAUUCCGAUAUGUCAGGACCUAAAUUGCCUAAGCACCUGUCAAAUUAAAAUGCCAAAAUUAAUUGAAAUCCUAAAGCCUUUAUAUCAUAUUCUUUAUAAGGCGUGUGCCAGCCUGUAUAGUAUAUAAGGGAGAGGGAUGUUUUGUGUAUAUAUAUGCCUUUGUGUAUACACUUAUCAAAGCUAUUUUCUUAUGAAAACAUCCCUCUUUCCAUACCAUCAGUUUCUCAGUUCCAGAAGUUAUACCUUUACUUUGAGCUGUGUAUAGGUAGAAUAAAAAAAUUCCUUUCAUAUCGUUAUUGUACAAAAAGUAAAGAGUAUCCUAAAGAUUGUAUUCAUUGUAAUCAAGUAAUGCAGUCAUCUCUCCUCUCUUGAAAUCUUGCUGGACCUCUUAGGCUACAAUAAACUGCACCAAGCUAAACUGACAGUCCUUCAAUAAUAUGAGACAUUAAUUUACAAGGACCCUUUUGGGCUUCAAUGAUGCUGAGUCUGGAAAAAGGGAGGAGACCCUUGGGAGGACCCCUUGCAGCUGUGCUCCCAGGGCUCAUGUUCUCUACUGGAUUAGGGAUAGGCACCUCUGAAAUCUCCACCCUGAUCAUUGUAAUGAAACGGAGUGAACAUGAGCCCAGCUGAGAGAGGAGCAGGAAUGUGUGAAAACCAGCUGCUCUCCUUGUCCCAGCGUUGUGAUUGAGCCCUCUGUCUUGCUCUUUCUGCCUUCCCUGUAUCUUUCCUAUCUUACCAGAGCAUCUGUUUGCAGAAUUAAUACCACCUUCCCCAGCCGCAGGUGUGUGGAACACGGUGAGAAAAAAAA
rnacentral:lncRNA from 1 species